GAUGAACGCUGGCGGCGUGCCUAAUACAUGCAAGUCGAGCGAACAGCCGCGGAGCUUUUUCAUCUGAUGAUAGUGACUGACGGGUGAGUAACUAGUGGAUAACUAACCUAUAAGACUGGGAUAAAUUAGAGACACAGAAGCUAAUAAAGGCUACUUUAUAGAUACGCAUGCUUCAAUAGUUAAAGACGGUUUUGCUAACCUUUAUAUAUGAGUCCGAGCCGCAUUAGCUAGUUGGUAAGGUAAAGGCUUACCAAGGCAAGGAUGCGUAGCCGACCUGAGAGGGUGAUCGGCCACACUGGAACUGAGACACGGUCCAGACUCCUACGGGAGGCAGCAGUAGGGAAUCUUCCGCAAUGGGCGAAAGCCUGACGGAGCAACGCCGCGUGAGUGAUGAAGGUCUUCGGAUCGUAAAACUCUGUUAUUAGGGAAGAACAAAUGUGUAAGUAACUAUGAACGGCUUGACGGUACCUAAUCAGAAAGCCACGGCUAACUACGUG
rnacentral:rRNA from 1 species